AUGCAGCCAAUCAAUCUUGCCAGGAUCUCUGCACUGUGAGGCCUGGUUUGUCAUUGGCUGCAAACAAAUAGUUUCUUUGGAGUUCCUGAACCCCACAGUUUUUACAUGCUUUUCUAAAGGCUCUGGGAGACAGUU